GGGUCAGUAGGUUGGUCGUGCCACCGGUACGUACUGGUCUCACUGAUUCCUCCUUCCUGAAGAACCGUAAUGCCAUUAAUUUGGCGUUGCGGGGAAACAGGACUGAUACUUUGAAAAAAUUAGGGUGUUUAAAGCAAGCUAACGCUUGAAUGCAUUAGCAUGGAAUAAUGAAAUAGGACGAUCGAUCCUAUUUUGUUGGUUUCUAGGAUUGACGUA
rnacentral:rRNA from 1 species